UACAGAGGGUGCGAGCGUUAAUCGGAAUUACUGGGCGUAAAGCGCGCGUAGGCGGCUUUGCAAGUCGGGUGUGAAAUCCCCAGGCUUAACCUGGGAACUGCAUUCGAGACUGCAUUGCUAGAGUAUGGGAGAGGGAAGUGGAAUUUCCGGUGUAGUGGUGAAAUGCGUAGAUAUCAGGAAGAACACCGAUGGCGAAGGCAGCUCUCUGGGACGGUACUGACGCUGAGACGCGAAAGCGUGGGGAGCGAACAGG
rnacentral:rRNA from 1 species